CUCCCUGCGGAGCAGAGAGCCCGAUGCAGGGCUCGAUCCCAGGACCCCGGAAUCAUGACCUGAGCCGAAAGCAGAGGCUUUAACCCACUGAGCCACCUAGGCGCCCCGAGCAUGUGGUUUUUUUAAGGAGAGCCCUUUCUAGAGCCUGUGCUAUACUAUGCUGAGUGCAUAGAAUUCCUGGACCCAAGAAUCAGGAAUAGAGUGGGAUGUGGCACUUUACAAGGUCAUUGCCCUGGCGUCCAGGUCCCCCCCCUUCUUAUGUUUGUGUUAUCUAAUGAGCAAUGAAAUUGCUGAACACCACACAGAACACAAGCCAAGGGAGGCAGUAAAAAAAAAAUGGAUGCUUAGGAGAAUGGACUUGGAAAUCAAAUGCUGACCUUAGUCGCUAGCUGUGUGACAUUGGCCGGUUGGCCUUCCUGUGUGUGUGUGUUUCUUCAUCUUUAAUAUGGGGAUAAUAGUAAUACGUCCUGUGAUGGUUGUAAAGAUGACAUACAGUGCUUGUAAAAUGCUGGAGUGGUAAAUUGGAGCUGUUUGCAAAACACUCAGGUUCUUCCCUGGUGCGCAUGUGCAGUUUGCAUGUGACCAGUUCUGGCCAAUGCAUUUGCUGUGAGCAGAAAUGAUGUCUGUUACUUCCAAGCUGGAGCCUUUAGUGGCUAGUGGGAGACUUCUGUGUAUGUUUCUUCUGUACCGAGGAGUAGCUGCUCCAUUAUUGCAGGCCUCAGAGUGGCAAUGCAGAGAUCAGCCAUCCAGCAGUAGGAGGUAGGAAGAGCAAAAAAUGACCCGAUGACUUGGGUUUGUUACUCACCUGAUAACAAGCCACCUCUGACAUUUAGGUUUGGUAAGGGUUUGCUGAACUACAAAAAGUAAUAGGAUGGGAUACAGAAUAAUAAAAGGGAUUCUUUGGCUGGAUAUGAGGGGACUGUAGCACUCGUUCCGAAUGUGAUUUAUUCCCAUUAACCACCUCUCUCCACUUUCCAAAGUGUCCACAGGGGUCUUAAAUAUCCCCAACCCCCAGCCCUUUGACAGAUACUCAGUCCCCGAAUGGGGCACCUACCUCAAACCAGGUCAAAGAUGCCUUAGGACAUUUUGAACUUAGAAGACCUGAAGUUUUUCUCUCUGGAAUGGUAGAAAUUGUAAGGUAAAAGUAUUUAGUGCUCCUGGUUGUCAUAAUUUCUGCCAUGUGGAAAAAGUUACUUGGGCGAUAACAAAGAGGAUUGUCUAGAGCAGCACAGAUAAGCUAGAGCAGGUCUUUAUGUGUUGGAGGCUGGGCUCUUCCUGAGAUGGUGUUGUACCUCUUCCUAUGUUGUAUUUUGUGAGCAAGAAAUAACAUUCUCCUCUUUUACUUAAAAGGAAGUACUUGGUUGAGCUGAGAGUUACUGGUUUGAGCUGAAUUCUAGGCAUUCAUUUGUAAACAGACGAAUAGAGCUGUAGUUCCAACUUUGACUACUGUGCUCUGGGAUGUUACGGGGGGCCCAAUCCUGUCAACUCUCAAAUGAGGGGCUGGGAUAGUGGUCCUACCUGCUUUAGCGGUCAGUGUUCUCUGUUGCAAGGAACAGAAAGAAGCCCCUCAAGCUAGCUUAUUGAAGGAAGGGCCUCUGGAAGGUCCAGAGAAUUGGUUGGAGGCUUUGCGGUUAGGCAUGGCAUUUCUUUCCCACCUCUGGCCCAUUGUUGGCAGAACUGCUGCAGCUUUGUCUAGACACCACCGCUCCCUCUGUGAUCCCAUAUGCCUCACAUGCUCCUGAGUUCUUUGCCCCUACCAUUUCCAGAAGCCUGAGGUUUCUCUGUCACCCUUACUAGAAUAACCUUGGUACUAUGGACAUUUUGGGUUGGAUAAUUCUUCGUUGGGGUAGGAGUGGAGGGGAACCUAUCAUUGUGCCUUGUAGAAUGUUUAGGAACAUUCGUGGCCUCUCCACACGGGAUGCCCUUGAGACAACCAGAACUGUCUCCAGGCAUGGUAACAUACCCCUGCCAGGAGCAGUCACCCCAGGUUGAGAAGCCGUGUUCUGUGGAUCAGAAGUUCACACUCCAACUGCAGGCAGACAGUGCCAGGGCACAAGUUCAAAAAUAGGCCUAUGUGCCAUAUAUCUAUAUAUUUAAAAGGUACAAUUCAAGCUAACAAGCUUUUUAGUAAAAUAUGUUCUAUUCUCCUACCUUGACAGCUUCAUAACAACAAAACCCCAAACAAAAUCUUUUUAUGUGAUGAAGUUGGCAGAAUAUCAAGAAAACAAUUUAAUGGUUGCAUAUAUCUGAUGUUUGUCUACAACAUUGGCAGAGGCUGCAACCCCCUUUGUGACCUUCAGAUACAAUUGCCUUUUGUUGAGAGAUUUUAGGGCAAGAGGUGAGAACAUUCCUUGGGGCCCGAACAGUGUUAGUUAUGAAAUGAGAUGUUUAGGAUUAUAGGUCAUGCUGAGCCUGUGCUGAGCAUAUGAUCCUGAGUGACAAGAGCAGCCUGUGUUCCUUAAUACAUUUGUUUUUUGAUGUAUCCUGAGUUGCAGGGCCAGUCUUGAUAGGAUCUAAGUGCACUACUGGCUGGAGGGAGACUGGGGAAAACAAGUCCCUGGCCUCCACUCUGGGGAUCUUUAGGCUCACAGUGUAGGGAUUUUCUCCACACACAGAGUGCUCCAAAAGUGCUGGGCAACCAAGAGUGGUAGAAUAGAGAAGUCUGUCCCUCUCCCAGUUCAAUUCAUGAACUGACCAAUAUUGUCAGAAUCCGCUUUUGAAGAAGAACUCUGGAAUCUAGUGGAAAACUUAAAAUGGGAAAUGUGAAGAGAGACGCUGCAGCUGUAUGGUGAGAGAAUGCUGUGGCAUUUUAAGUGCCGUGAGGGUGGGCACCCAAAUGUCUGGUGCUGCUUGCUGGUGCUGGAAGAAGCAAGAUAGGACUUAACUUUCAAGGAAUGUGGUUGUGGGUAUCUGCCUGUCCGGCUCCUCCCUCAAGGAUCGGUGGAAAGGCUUCUCUUUCUUCACUCUGGGCAUGCCCAUUGGCGAGGGCAUUUGCUGAAAACAUUUAAAGGCACAGGUACUGGCUUCAGCAGCCUGGGGCAACACUUGGGACAAGUAAUAGACAAGAAGCCUGGCAAAGAAGAGGUUGGGACAGAGCUAUGUUUGGGAAUACAGCUUUUCAAAGCUUCCAUGUAUGCCUGGGAAUUGAAAAGAGCCACAUACAAAUAAGAGAGUGAGACAUAAACUCAGCAAAGGCCUGAGAAGACCCUAAGCUUUCAUCUCUUGCUGGCCUUCAGGCUCUGUUUGAAAAGGAAGUGAAGCUGAGGCAGAAUUCUAAGCAGCCAUGCUAAGUGUUCACCGAAUUAGCUGUGACACAGUUCCAUUUUGCAAAGAUGUAGGAGAGUAUUCUUUUUUUCCUUAAAAAAACAAAAAAAACAAAAAAAAUGUUUUUUUGUUGUUGUUUUUGGCUCCAGAUAUUUAAGGUAACUGCCAAGAUACCAGCUAUCCAAUAAGCUGAAGGAACACAGACCUCAGUGGCAAAGAGCUCAGACCUCACACAAAUAGUUGAGAAGUCUGUAAGCACACAGGCAAGCAACAGGAACCCGUAAGAGGCAGCAGUAAACCUGGAAAGGAAGGAAAAUCUGACUUCCAGAGGUGCCACGUAUUCAAAAUAGCCAGUAUUCAACAACAACAAAAAUCACAAGCUGUUCGAAGAAACAAGAAAUGACGGCUUUACACAGAGGAAAAAGAAAACUAUAGAAACCCCAUGAGUCAGCCCAGGUAUCUAGCUAAGGUCUAGACAAGGACCUUAAACUCAUGGUCUUAAAUAUGCUCAAAGAGCUAAAGGAAACCAGGAGAACAAUGUCUCCGCAUGUAGAGAGUAUCAGUAAAGAGGAAUUUAGAAAAGACACCAAAUAGAAAUUUUGGAGCUGAAGAGUAUAAUAACUGAAAUGAAACAUUUGUUCGCUAGAGGGGCUUAGUAGUAGAUUUUGUGCAGGCAAGAGAAGGAACCCUUGAACUUAAAGACAUGUCAGUUGAGAUUAUUCAGCCCACAUUGCAGAAGGAGACAAGAAUGAAGAAGAGUGGUCAGAGCCUGAGACCUGUGGUACACCAACAAGAAUGUAACAUGCAUAAAUGGGAGUCCCAGAGUAAAGGCAAACAUAGAUCAAUAGAAUGAGAGUCUAGAAACACACAAAUACCAUACAUCUAUGGUUAAUUAAUUUUUGACAAUGGUGAUAAGACUAUUUAAUGGAGAAAGAAUAGUCUCCAACAAGUUGUGCCAAGAUAAGUGGUUAUUCAUGUGCAAAAGAGAGUUGGACCUUGAACUCACAUCACAUACAAAAAUUAAUAUUGAGAAUGAGUCAAAGACCUAAACAUAAGAGCUAAAACUAAGUAAACUCCUAGAAGAAAAUACGGUAAGUUUUCAUGACCUUGAGUUUGGCAGUGGAUUCUUAGAUAUGACCCCUAAAGCACAGGCAACAACAAUAAUAAAAUAGAUACAAUGGAUACAUAUCACAGUUGAAAAUCUUUAUCACUAUCAAGAAAGUGAAGGACAACUUACAGAAUGGGGAAAGAUAAUGCAAGUCAUGUAUCUGAUUAGUGUUUAGUAUCCGGGAAUAUAUUAUGGGCUGUCAUAAC